CGAGAUUGCGCCACUGUACUCCAUCCUGGGCCACAGAGUGAGAAACCGUCUCAAAAAAAAAAAAAAAAAAAAAUAGGCCAUAGCCUGAGCUUAGCCUGCUGGCCAUAGUCUACAGACCCAUGCUAUAAUACACGAGUAACUGGUGUGAGUAACUACACACAGACAGAAAAGCACCCAGUGAACAGUGCCUUCAUUUCUCGAAUUUCCUGCUUUCUGUCAACAUGCAUCACACAGUUACAUGCUCUUCCUGUGGUUGCAAUCAGUUUAUCUUUGCAUUCUGCUGUUUUAAAAUUUAACGCCCAUUUCUGUGGAUUGGCAUAGCCCACAUUCUUGUGAAUCACCCACAGUGAUUCCUGCAGUGUUGUCCCCAGCCUCAAGCCUCUCUGCACCGUAAUUGUGCUUCUUUUCCUCAGAUACCUGCCUUGCAUUGGCCCUGGGUAAAUGUUUCCCUUGGCUGUGAAUAGGCAAUUAAAAUUCUGAACCUUUUAUGGCUCUGGAAGCUUAUCCGAUGAAACAAUACUCAUCCAGGCGGAUGGCCCACCAGCGCAAAGGGCUGAAAAGUUCCAUGGCAGCCUCAUAACUGGAGGGUGUGUCCAUGAGGAGGGUUUCGAUGACACGCUGAAAGCUCGGGCAGAUCUCUGCAGAAGCUGCAACACAGAGGAGAGAAGGCACAUGUCUCCAGGCCCCUUUCCAAGCUGGCUAGCCCUCUGGCUGGGUCUGCCCAGAUGCAAACAGCCAGGCCCAUCAGCGAGAGAUAGCAGCCUUUUCAUCGAUGGACUAGAGUGUAAGAUUUGUGGAUUGCCCGAGUCUUCCUUAGACUUCUUGGGUUGAGGGCUGAGGCCGCUGUAAGCCAAGGUACGCAACGCUUGCUAAACAGGAAUCCCUGGAAUGAAUCCAUGCAUGAGGCCUUUGUGCCAUGUGACAGUUGAAGGCUGUGGUGACCCCGGAACCGUCCCACUCCGAGACGCCUUAACACCGUUUUUCUGCUGUUACAAACCACAGAGCAACGCGUGUGCCUCCUCCCGCCCUGGGGACUCUUUCUGUGGGAGAGGUGCCUGGAUUUAGAGGAGCGACCACUCUUCAUUUGUAGGAUCUUGGUCACUUUCCCAGUUGUCACUCGGCCCACAAACUAGGAUGUGAGCAGCAUAUUAAGAAUCUGCAGAGAUGUUCCCGUCUGCCCGGCAUAUGGAUGUCCUUCUGGGCUGCAAAGUGGCAUCCUGUGGGCAACUCCCCCCACAACAACCAGCUGCCAGCUCUGGGGAUUUGGGCAGCAGAUUUGGGGUUGACAGCAGAAUGACAUGAUCACCAGUUGACCUUGGCCAGGAUGCCAGCUUACUUUCUCGCUUACUUCUGCAGGUUCUUUGUUCUGCGGGUGAGUCACCCAGGUCCUGCCCUCCGUGCCUGUCUGCCCUCUCCCACUUUCCCUGCCCUGAGCUUGUUCCCACUUGUAGAUUUGGCAGGUCACUGCCAAGGCCCCUAUUCCCCCAACAUGGCCAGUGCCCUAAGGGUGGGUUGUACAGGGAGGAGCUGGCGUGGUCAGUAGACUUGAAUCAGGGACAACUCGGCUGCUGAAGGCUGAGGGGGCCUUGCAGGGCUGCAGGUGCCUUGUGCACACAGGGAGUGGGUAGAGAAGGCAACCAGGGGCUCCUUCAGGCCUUAAUGCUCUGCAGCCCAGUGAGGCUGUGCCCAGAGAGUCUGGCGAGGCCCUGGUCUGCUCCCCCAGCCAAUGGCCUGAUGCUGUUCCAUCUGGGCACCCUGUCACUUUUCGUUCAUCAGGGAGUACAGGGUGAUUCAGGGUCUCAAAUGCAGGUGUUCACAAAAUGAAAUAGAACUUCCCUCUAUCCCCGUGCUUCUUUUUAUUUUUAUAACAAAUAUACAUCGUUAUAUUUUAUUUUUAUAUUUAUGUAUUUUAUAUAUAUGUGACAUCUACUACAUGACAGAAAAUAUUUAUGGCCAGGCAAGGUGGCUUACACCUGUAAUGCCAGCACUUUGGGAGGCUGAGGCAGGCGGAUCACCUGAGGUCGAGAGUUGGAGACCAGUGUGACCAACAUGGAGAAACCCCAUCUCUACUAAAAAUACAAAAUCAGCUGGGGGUGGUGGCGCAUGCCUGUAAUCCCAGCUACUCGGGAAGCUGAGGCAGGAGAAUCGCUUGAACCGGGGAGGCGGAGGUUGUGGUGAGCCGAGAUUGCACCAUUGCACUCCAGCCUGGCAACAAGGGAUAAACCCCGUCUCAAAAAAAAAAAAAGAAAAAAAAAAAGAAAAAAAUAUUUAUAAUGUAACUAAUAUAGCUAAAAUAAAAUGUAAUUUCAGUCUCAAGCCUUCAUUCUGUUAAGGGGACAGAAACUUAAUCUUGGUCAUCUUGGGGUCUCCCUCCCUGGGGCUGUGCCUGACUUCCAGGGGGCUCGGCGUUGGCAGGAUUUCUGGUGCUUGAGGUCACCUGUCAGCCUGUCUCUUGUCAUUGGCUAUCCGCCGUGCCAUCUGCUCCUGUGUGUCCUUGGCACUGUUCGCAUGUCUCCAGCUCGCUGGCUUUCUCUGCCACCUUGGAGCCACUCCUGGGUGCACAGGAGUCUUACUGCUCCCACGCUGUGCUGGGGCCUGGGAAGACUGCUGUGGCCUACCUGCCUCCGUGUAGCACACACACCCAUUUCUUCUUCUUCUUCUCCUUCUCCUUCUUCAGACAGAGACUCACUCUGUCACCUAGGCUGGACUGCAGUGGUGCCAAAUUGGCUCACUGCAACCUCCGCCUCCCGGGUU
rnacentral:lncRNA from 10 species